rnacentral:rRNA from 1 species
UACGUAGGUGGCAAGCGUUGUCCGGAAUUAUUGGGCGUAAAGCGCGCGCAGGCGGUCCUUUGAGUCUGAUGUGAAAGCCCACGGCUCAACCGUGGAGGGUCAUUGGAAACUGGGGGACUUGAGUACAGAAGAGAAGAGUGGAAUUCCACGUGUAGCGGUGAAAUGCGUAGAGAUGUGGAGGAACACCAGUGGCGAAGGCGACUCUUUGGUCUGUAACUGACGCUGAGGCGCGAAAGGGUGGGGAGCAAACAGG